AGUGUGUGAGAGUAAUAUUACAGAAGAAAAAAAAGUGCAAUGUUUAAUAUAAAAACGCUAAGUGGCGCGCGCGAAGCGCGCGCAAUGUUGUGUUCUAGUAAUAUAUAAAAAAACAGAAUCAGGAAAUGUAUAUACUAAAAGGUAUGCAAUGAGAUGCAAAUAAGAUGGUAAAGUGAGAAAUACAUAAAAGUUAUUAUAUAGCGAUAAAAUGACGAUAUCAUAAAACAAAAAGAAUACUACACACGAAGCAUUAUUAGCUUAACUUUGUACAGACAUUUUUCAAUGGCAUUUAAAUUUACUUACUGGCGCUAAUGCUCGUUUAUCACAUGAUCAUCAAAGUUAUCCAAUAAAUAAUGUAGUCACUAUAGUAUUUCAUUAAUAAAACGUUGUAGGAGCUACGAGGUUUUAUUAAACGUUGCUAAUUAAUUAUGCGAUGAAAUUGUUAGCCAACCUUUAUUUACGUUUAAGAAAUAUGUGAUCUCUAAUUGCUUUAUUUCUUUUUGAGGAUGGCCAUUUUUAAUUGUUGGUGUCGUUAUUAUAGCGUCGACCAUUCUAGCAAUUCGGGCGAGCUAAUGAGUCACAGAUAAUUAAGAGGCAUUGAGGCUUUAUUUUAAUUUUAAUAUGUGGAACGCUGUGUAGUGCGUCCGCCUUUCAUUGCUACUUAAUUAAACUCGCGUACAGGAGUAUGAGAAAGUCGCUUCAUUGUUGUUAGGAGCACGGAGGACGCGGAGUAAAAAUAAAACGGAGAACUAAGCCGCGCGACGAGGCGGGUAAAAACAAAAAUUAAAAAAGGAAAAAAAAAGCAGUAUAAUGUAAAAUACGAAUGUGCGGGCAGAAUGUUGCGAAGAUUAACCCUUACGUACGCAAAUUUCUUCCCUUCUGUAUGCUGACUGAUCCCCUUUUUAGAGCUAAUCCUUUCCGUCAUUGUUCUACCCUCGAAAUUCGCAACGUUAGCGAACUUAUCGCACUCACUGUUGCGAAUCGUGUGCGUUUGCAACUUCCUUUUUUUCCCCUCCUUUUCCUUCUCUCUUUCGUCCUUUCUCUUUUACCCCUUGUUUCCCGCUCUCUGCGGCUAAAUUAGACCGACAAACAGAAAAGUGUAUUUACGAACGUAACGUGGGGGUUCGAGAACGCUACGCUACCGUAGCACUACCUUAAUCACGUUCGCGGCGCACGUAUCGUAUAUUUACCCCGACGGUAAAUACGCCAUUCGCCUUAGCGCAUAAUGUGUACGGAUGCACGGGGCAUACAGGGUGCGCCCAUUAAUCGCGAUCAACACGAAUGGAACUGGGUCGGCCAAAGUUUCGCAUUAUCCGCAGGAUUUUCACCAGGGUCCCGUCUUACAAUGGUUCCCUACGUCAUCCGUCUCAUCCAAUCUUUUCAUACUUCUAAACAUUAAAGCACGAUUCAUUCUAAUAAAAAUCGGUUUAAUAACUUGAUCCGUAAAAUAGGCGAUGUGAUUGCUGAAGAGACUCUACCAUAAGCUUUUUAAGAUAUUAUUUAUCAUCGCAAAGAAUUUAUAUUAUGCUAUUUUGUAAAUAAUUUUUUUACCAAGAUCUGACGACAAUAUACUCGUAUUUAUGAAUAUGUUUAAAUUUUGAAAUAUUUAGAGACAGAGAGAGAGAUUUUUUCUUUAUGAUAAUAAGUAAUGAUAGUAAUUGUUGUCAUUGUCUCAUAUUAUUAAUUUAAAUUGUAACAUCAUUAUUUAUCGAGAGUCGAAGUGAUUUCAUUAUAAUAGUUACAUUAUAUAAAUUUAACUCUAACAAUUUCAAGUUAAUACCCGCAAAAGUUACAUGAUUUAUCGUUCCCGCAUAGUUAAUGUAACAAAACCCGUCAAAGUACCUACGUGUCCCGCGCAACUCAUGCCCGUCAGAGCACAAGCAAAGAAGAAACUUUAUUAGAUUCUUUUUACAUCGCCGCCCGCAUCGCGCACGCUUGCAAAAAGCUUCGAUCGCGCGCAAACAACGAAGCGGUUAUUCAAAGCAAUCAAGAUGAAAGAUUCACUCUGUAAAUGCACGCGCGAAGAGAGAGAAAGGGAGAUAGAGGCGCUCGCCGCGCGAGCAUACGGAUACUCUUCAUCCGCGUUUGCACGGUCGAGCGCGGAAGACGUAAACGAGAGAGAAGUAAAUGGAGAUUCAUAAAAAGCGCUGAGUAAUUCGGGACCAAUAUAAAGCACGCUGAAGUGAAAUCGAGCCUGGCACGUGAAGAUCGAGCGCUUCACGCCCCGAGUUUACAGCCUGUCAGUGCUAGACCUUGACGAAUGGCUGCGGAAUUUGCUCGAAUCGAAUGGCUCCUGUCCUAUUUGGCCCGCGGCCUUAGGAAUCAGACAGUCCGAGAGAGAGAGAGAGAGUCACCUGAAUUCCUCCUCGCUAUAAUUCUUCGACGGGAGUUAAAUUCCAGCUUUCUCGCCCUCUCUCGUCUGUUCGCGCCGUCGAAAACCCCCGUUCCUUAUUUAUCUCGCCACGCGAGCAGAUACGUAUAUGAUGGUGGUUUGGAUGCGCGAGGAUAAUCAGAGAUCUUCUACGAACUACGGGUAUUUGUCGUGCGUGAGUACAAUGUGAGUUUGCACUAAAUCCAGCGAGAUUUUACGCUUACGGCUUAUAACACACUCGUGCCCUUUGAUUAGAGCGGUACCAGCAGCUAGUGGCGUAACUCAAUUUUCGACAAGAGCCAGUUAAUGCACCCUCGAUUACUCAAGCGACCUGAAUUUAUCGGAAAACGGCACGUUGGUGUAAGGAACCCCUUCUUGCUCCAAUGGAUACGCGAGAUGGAUCCGUGAUAGUAACCCGGACCACAUGUAACAGUAACCAUGAUGAUAACACCGUAAUCAACGUUUCUGUCCCGAGAUCCGCACGAUGCACAUGUAAAUUUCAGAUAUAAUGUCUUUGACAGGCUCUAUACAUACAAAGGGGCUAGGUUUGUAUUUAAGCUGUUCUAUUAUUAUUUUCUUUUGAAUAAAGAUGUCAAUAUCUUUAAUAACUAAAAUAACAUUGGUUUUACAAACUUGAAUUGCGAAUUUUUCUGAGGCCGCGAACAAGUGAAUUGAAAUUUUAUUCCAAUUCGUUAACUCCUUAAGAUAUAAUGAAUGAGCUCAGCAAAAUGAGAAAACUGCUUAUAACUUUAUUGAGAAGAAUUCAGCGGCUUGGCUGAAAACGACUUUCCGGGGCUCGUAUUCCGAUAUUUCGCAAUAACGUGCUUUCAAGAUUAAUUAUCUUCCUGGACUGGUAUUUUGUUUGAUAUCUUUUUCUUCAAUCCUCAGUUCGUUACACGGCAUGAGAAAAAAUCUUUCUUUUAUUUUGGCGUCUUUUAAUGAACUAUAUUUUAGAUAUUUGUGUAGAAUAGUAUGUUUUUAUUUUAUUAAAAUCCAUCUCAUUAGGAAGCAAGAGAAUGGAAUAAUGGAAAGUAAAUAAUGUUAUCAACAUAAUCUAUUAUCAUUUUUAAUUAUCCGGAUGAUUUGAACAAAAUUCUUAAUUGCAGACUCUCUGGAAUAUAUAUGUUAACUAAAAUAGAGUGUGUAAAGUAGAAUUUGAUUCUAAAAGUUUUUAUAAAAAGAGACUUGUAUUUGUAAUAAUUAUAUUUGUAAAAAUAUUAACUUUCUAAAAAAUUACUAUUUUGCGACUUAAUUUAAAAGAUUUUAUUAAUUAAAUGUUUGAUUUAAAAGAUGCAUAAUAAACAAAUUUUACAUAGAUACUUUAGGUACUUUUAAAUGCUC
rnacentral:lncRNA from 1 species